CUUCCGCUUGUUGAGGACAGAUGAAAUGUAUGUGCGAAUCAAACCCACCAGUAGUGAUGAUCUUGUGCUCACCAGCAAUGACCUCCGUGUUGCUCCCUACGACCAUGUGUUCCGUUAUGUUGUCCAUAAUGUCUGGAUUGCCAGCUUUGCCAAUGCCAACGAUAUUGCCGUCUUUGACUCCAAUAUCGCACUUGAAGAUACCAGAGUGAUCCACCACCAGGGCAUUUGUGAUGACUAGAUCGAGGCACUCUGCAUCACGUCGACCAGAUGCCUGGCCCAUACCAUCGCGAAU
rnacentral:sRNA from 1 species